rnacentral:rRNA from 1 species
CACGUAGGGUGCGAGCGUUGUCCGGAAUUAUUGGGCGUAAAGAGCUCGUAGGCGGUGUGUCGCGUCGGCCGUGAAAACCUGCAGCUUAACUGUGGGCGUGCGGUCGAUACGGGCAUCACUGGAGUUCGGCAGGGGAGACUGGAAUUCCUGGUGUAGCGGUGAAAUGCGCAGAUAUCAGGAGGAACACCGGUGGCGAAGGCGGGUCUCUGGGCCGGUACUGACGCUGAGGAGCGAAAGCGUGGGGAGCAAACAGG